GCGCGAAAACUUUACAAUGCUGGGAACAGCGAUAAGGGAACCUCGAGUGCCAGGUUACAAAUCUGGCUGUCGUGAUGCCUAAAAAGCAUUAUAUAGCAAGGGCCGGGCAAGACCGGUGCCAGCCGCCGCGGUAACACCGGCGGCUCGAGUGGUAACCGUUAUUAUUGGGUCUAAAGGGUCUGUAGCCGGCCGGAUAAGUCUCUUGGGAAAUCUGGCAGCUUAACUGUCAGGCUUUCAGGGGAUACUGUCUGGCUCGAGGCCGGGAGAGGUGAGAGGUACUUCAGGGGUAGGGUGAAAUCUUGUAAUCCUUGAAGGACCACCAGUGGCGAAGGCGUCUCACCAGAACGGACCUGACGGCAAGGGACGAAAGCUAGGGGCACGAACCGGAUUAGAAACCCU
rnacentral:rRNA from 1 species